rnacentral:misc_RNA from 1 species
ACACAGCGGCCCACGCCCGG